ensembl:lncRNA
GAACGAGGGGAUCUGGGUUCCUAUAGCAGCAAGAAAGACUCACAUUAGACUCCAGGCAGUGAAUCUCCAUUUAAAGGGAGUGAUAGGUUGAAGGAGGUGAUUGGGCCUCUGGUGACGUCAGCACCUCCCUUGGCUGUCCCUCUUCUUAGGACACCUCAGUGGGCCCCUCCCUGGUCCCAUAAAGGGCCGGACACAAAGGGCGCCUGGGAAAUGUGAGGCCCUAGAGGUGUCGGAAGAUGAAAGAGGUCUGAUGAUGCCAGUGGUGUCACAUGACAAGAAAGGAGAAGACCCUGACCAGUGGCUGCCUGCUCUGGUUUAUCACUCCAUGUGGGGAAAGCCAAAGGGGUACAGCAGACAUGCUUCCAGCACUCAGCAAGGUACAGCCCCGAAGAUAGGAUGGACACAGCCCAUCAUCAGUUGCCAUGGAAGCCAUGGGAAGGUCCUGCUAAAGCACCUGUGAUUAGACAGAGCUGGAAGAACCAGCAAGGAUGAGGUGGCUGAAUCCAGCAGAGUCCUGCUGGGAAGCAGCUUUAGGGAUCCGGGAGCAGCAGGCAGGUUCCCGGGCCUCAUCGAGCCCGAUGCAUCUCCACCCAGACAGGAAGUGUGUGUGUCUGGAUUUGUCGCCUAACAGGUACAGAUGUAGGAGGCUCUCACUCAUGAGACGGAAUCGCUCCUGGGGACUGAGAGGCUCAGACGGCUCAGUCAGAGGCAGGCUGCACGCCUCAAACAGGGGGCAGAUUCUGCUGGUGGAACCCCCUGUAACAGACCAAGGUCAGCAGGCCCAGCACUUCAUAAACUGAAUUACGGCAGCCUCCGCCUGGGAGUAGAG